rnacentral:lncRNA from 1 species
CACCACUAUACUCAGGGACUUCACAGGGUUUCAAUAGGCCUUAUUGAUUUUUCCUGGGGCUCAUGGAGUUUCAGAGUCAUCCUCAGAGUCCUCUUUGUCUUCAGGAUCUUUUACGUGUUCUCCAUGAGGCUCAGUGCUAUUCUCAGAGUGUCAGAUUUUCUCAGUGCUUCUUCCAGCCUCAGAGCAAGACUCUGAAUCUUCCCAAAGGAAACACUGUGUUCAGGCUCUUUAGGGCUUUCUCAAUAAAUCCCAGGGCCUUGCUCAAGGUCUCUUUGGAGCUAAGUGCCAUUUCUAGCCUCACAGUGGUGCUCAGCAUCUUCCCCAGAGUUUGACUGUGUGUCAAGAGUCUUAGUGAGGCCUAGGGCCUACUCUACUGAUUCAGUGGCUUAAAGAACUCUGCACAUUAUCUAGUGGUACUUCUUCCACAGUAUCCUGAGUAAAGAAUGGCCUUCACCAGCAUCUCAGUGGGGAAUAAUUCCUUGCCCAGUGUGUCUGAAAUUCAGAGAGAUUUCCAUUGUCAUUGUGGUGCUCAGGGCCUUUUGCAGUGUCAGUGGAUCUCAGGGUCACCACAUGUUACUUAGUAUAAGCUCAAGGCUUUCUCCAGGGCUUCAGUGUGGCUCAGUGGUUACACCAAUGGCUUAAAGGGGCCCAGGGAAUGUUUCAGGUUUGAUUUCUUUCCCCCUAGAGCUUCUGUGACGCUAAAGUUUUCCAACGUCUUUUCAGUGGGGUUUGAGGCCUUCUCUAGGGCCUAAGUGGGGUGGUUUUAGUCAGCUUUUGUGCUGGUUUAAUGUAAAGACAUAAAUAGAAUAACUGUGGAGAAGGAAAGGUUUAUUUGAGGUCUCACAGUUUGAGAGGUCUUAGUGCAUAGAAGACUGGCUCCAUUUCUCAGGGCUCUGGGUGAAGAAGGAAAUCAUGAUGGAAGAGUGUGGCAGAGUAAAGCAGCUCACAUGAUGAACACGGAGAAGAGAGAGGGAACUCCACUCACAAGAUUUAAUAUCUAUACCCCAAAGUGAUGCCCCCAUGUCCCACCUCUUCCAGUCACACCCUACCAGCCUUCAGUUACCACUCAGAUAAUCCCUAUCAGGGAAUGUAUUUACUAACUUAGGACACAUCAUUUCUCCUCUGAGCCUUCUUGCAUUGUCUCACACGUGAUCUUUUAAAGGAUAGCCUACAUCCUAACCAUAACAUUCCACACUUGGCCCAGAAGCUCACAACCAUCUCACAAUGCAAAGUACAUUUUGUCCAUUCUCAAGAGUCUCCAUGGUCACAACUGUUCCAAGACUGCUCAAAGUUCAAGUCCAAAGUCUUCUCUGAGGUACAAUCAAUCUUUCAUUGGGAGUUCCUAUAAAAUUAAAAGCAAUUUACAAUUACCCAAUAUAUAAUGGGUACAGAGUAAGCAUUUUUAUUCACAAAAUUUGGGGCAUAGAAAAAAGGCAUAGGACCAAAGCAAGACUAAAAUCCAGCAGGUCAAACAGGUUAUGCGUCAGCACCUGGAACACAUGAUGUUCUCUCCAAAGGUCUUGUGUAUCUUUACCCCUAAUGCCUUGUUGCUUGUAACCCAAGGGGCCAUUUUAUUGACUGGUCUCUGCUCAAUUCCUGCAGUGUUCCAAGGAUGAUGUCUCAUGUUACUGACAUUUCUUAAUGGGAAAGGGGAGGGUAUCUCCAUUGCAACUUCAGUUUUCUCCUCACAUCUCCAGACUUUGACUUCUCAGGUGCCUGCAGGAACUCUAAUCCUGUUUUACUUUGUCUGGCUUCCUAGGCCUUCUUUUGAAAUCUUGGUGGAACCCUCCAUAAGUUCCUCACUCCAGUAUCCUACAUUUAUACAGAACCAGAACAGCAUGAUUAGCACCAAUGUCUGCCACCAUGUUGAGCCAAGACUCCAGGAUCCUGGCUGCUGCAGCCCUUUAGUGUUUGAGCAGCUGAGCCUGUUUUUUAAUUACUUCCC